AGGGGGGGCAAGCGUUGUUCGGAAUUACUGGGCGUAAAGGGUUCGUAGGUGGCCAAGUAAGUCAUACGUGAAAUCCCUCAGCUUAACUGGGGAAGUGCGCUUGAUACUGUCAAGCUUGAGUGCAGGAGAGGAACGGAGAAUUCCAGGUGUAGAGGUGAAAUUCGUAGAUAUCGGGAGGAACACCGGUGGCGAAGGCGGCGUUCUGGACUGCAACUGACGCUGAGGAACGAAAGCCAGGGGAGCAAACAGGAUUAGAUACCCCGGUAGUCCUGGCCGUAAACGAUGAACGCUAGGUGUGGCGGGUAUUCAUUCCUGCCGUGCCGAAGUUGACGCGAUAAGCGUUCCGCCUGGGGAGUACGGUCGCAAGACAUA
rnacentral:rRNA from 1 species